UACGUAGGGGCCCAGCGUUGUCCGGAUUCAUUGGGCGUAAAGCGCACGUAGGCGGUUCGUUAUGUCGGAUGUGAAAGCCCUUGGCUUAACCGAGGAAGUGCAUCCGAAACUGGCGAGCUAGAGUACGAAAGAGGAUCGCGGAAUUCCCGGUGUAGAGGUGAAAUUCGUAGAUAUCGGGAGGAACACCGGUGGCGAAGGCGGCGAUCUGGGUCGAUACUGACGCUGAGGUGCGAAAGCGUGGGGAGCAAACAGG
rnacentral:rRNA from 1 species